AAACCAGGGGCGCUACCAGGGAUUUUAAGCCCCAUGAAAAGAUAUCACAUUGGGCCACACCACCAGGCACAUGCUCCAGGUUCAGCAGCCUGGAUGACCUUGUGAUGCUGUACCCUGAGGUGAAAAACAUCAAGGAAAGGACAGCGUUUGGUCAUCUGCCUGAAGCAGAUGAUGUCUCCAAAUCCUCAAAAAAGAAUCUCUUCGAGCUCUCAGCCACCACUACAAUAAACAUGAGACAAGGGGGUGAUGAUGAUGACACCAGCUCUCAUUGAGUGAUCACAUAUUAAUACAGUUUGUAGAUGAAAUGUGAUGUGAGACCUUGC